CUCAGCCCUAACCCUAACCCUUUGAAAUAAUCCUAAUAAAUAGAAUGCAUUGACCGAACCGGCACAAACAUGACUGACGUGUCCAGUGUAAUGCAUUAUAACCGCUUCGAAAAAUAAAAUACCAAUAAAAAAACUUUUCUUUGUAAUGGUGCAAAUUACUGAAUGAAAAAAAUAUAUAUGUA